rnacentral:lncRNA from 1 species
AUGUGUGUUGCUACACCAACGCAUGCAAAUAAAACAAUUCAAUGGUCACAUGUACGUCUCUGUGUUACAGUGGGUCUAGUCCAGGUGGGUCUAGUCCAGGUGGGUCUAGUCCAGGUGGGUCUAGUCCAGGUGUGUCUCUGUGUUACAGUGUGUCUAGUCCAGGUGUGUCUAGUCCAGGUGUGUCUCUGUGUUACAGUACGUCUAGUCCAGGUGUGUCUCUGUGUUACAGUGUGUCUAGUCCAGGUGGGUCUAGUCCAGGUGUGUCUCUGUGUUACAGUGUGUCUAGUCCAGGUGUGUCUCUGUGUUACAGUGUGUCUAGUCCAGGUGGGUCUAGUCCAGGUGGGUCUAGUCCAGGUGGGUCUAGUCCAAGUGUGUCUCUGUGUUACAGUGUGUCUAGUCCAGGUGUGUCUCUGUGUUACAGUGUGUCUAGUCCAGGUGUGUCUCUGUGUUACAGUGUGUCUAGUCCAGGUGGGUCUAGUCCAGGUGUGUCUCUGUGUUACAGUGUGUCUAGUCCAGGUGGGUCUAGUCCAGGUGUGUCUCUGUGUUACAGUGUGUCUAGUCCAGGUGGGUCUAGUCCAGGUGUGUCUCUGUGUUACAGUGUGUCUAGUCCAGGUGUGUCUAGUCCAGGUGGGUCUAGUCCAGGUGUGUCUCUGUGUUACAGUGUGUCUAGUCCAGGUGGGUCUAGUCCAGGUGUGUCUGUGUUA